GUCGUGGGGCAGCAUGACUGUAGCAAUACAGAUUGAUGGCGACCGGCAAACGGGUGCGGAACACGUACACAACCUUCCUUUUAGUGGAGAAUAGCCCAGGGAAACUUGGAUUAAUACUCCGUAACAUAUAGAAGUGGCAUCACUUCUAUAUUAUAGCAGCAAUGCGCUAGAAGAUGGGUGUGCGGCUGAUUAGAUAGUUGGCGGGGUAACGGCCCACCAAGUCGACGAUCAGUAACUGGUGUGAGAGCACGACCAGUCACACGGGCACUGAGACACGGGCCCGACUCCUACGGGAGGCAGCAGUAAGGAAUAUUGGUCAAUGGACGCAAGUCUGAACCAGCCAUGCCGCGUGGAGGAUGAAGGUCCUCUGGAUUGUAAACUUCUUUUAUUUGGGAAGAAACCCAUCUUUUCUAAGAUGGUUGACGGUACCAGAUGAAUAAGCACCGGCUAACUCCGUGCCAGCAGCCGCGGUAAUACGGAGGGUGCAAGCGUUAUCCGGAUUCACUGGGUUUAAAGGGUGCGUAGGUGGGCAAGUAAGUCAGUGGUGAAAUCUCCGGGCUUAACCCGGAAACUGCCAUUGAUACUAUUUGUCUUGAAUACUGUGGAGGUCAGCGGAAUAUGUCAUGUAGCGGUGAAAUGCUUAGAUAUGACAUAGAACACCAAUUGCGAAGGCAGCUGGCUACACAAAUAUUGACACUGAGGCACGAAAGCGUGGGGAUCAAACAGGAUUAGAUACCCUGGUAGUCCACGCCCUAAACUAUGGAUACUCGACA
rnacentral:rRNA from 1 species